GAGAUAUAACCGAGUUACCAAGGCAGGACCUCUUCGUCAAAGGAAGGAAAGAGCGGAGCAAGAAAGGAGGAAGAGAGGAGUGAGCGUUCCAUAGAGUUCAGUUUCACACAGAGCCAGUGGAGAUUCUACAGGUGGACAUGAAAACUAGAUGAAUAAAACGUAAAGUAAAAAUUAUAGACUGGAAUAAUCAUCUCAGCCAGUGUGAAGGAUUCAUUGGGGAAAGGAAAUUAUAUAACAAGUAAAGGAAAUUUUUCUACAGGAGGAAAGGUGGUGUUUGAGGGAACGGACGACCAACUUUAUUACUCUAAUCCAAAAACUAUACUUUCAUACUUGAAAGACUGAUGAACGGCAAGAUGAGUCUUUCCCGUAACGGUACCUUGGAGAAACCCGUGUCCCUGCAGACCGCCACGGACCGAGGGGAGCUCGAUUCCCCUCACCCGCGCCUCCAUCACACCGGCUCCAUCUCCUCCAGUACUCCAGCAAACGUGUCCAGCUCAUGUGUUGUGGUUCCUCCUCCGUACUCGAUAGCAGGCAGUGCGCUGAACGAGUCUCCUCUGGAGCUGAGGGGCUCUCUGGACUGUUGGGCCUGUUCUGUUCUGGUAACAGCACAGAAUCUGAUCAUCGCCGCGCUCAAUGUGGGUCUGGCUGCGUUUAUCUUCGGCCUCAUUCUCUUGCCUUCGCUCGUCAUGGUCGCUUUUGGCUUCCUCUGCCAUUCAACGGUUCAGCGCCAUGGUACUUCCGUCUACUGUUCAGAUCUCUUGGAUGAUGGAGGCUGUGUGGCUUUAUUGGUGGUUGGGUUCCUGCUGCUGGCUCCGCUCCUGGUUCUGGCUCUGGCCGCUUACUGCAGGAUGGCACGCCAUCUCCAGCUGGGCCUGUGCUUCAUCCCCUACAGCCGUGCCGUCUACAAGAACCUGCCUGCAUCACGCCAUCGAGGCCUGGGGGGCUGCUGUGGCCAGCAGGGGGCAGGAGAGAGUGAGGGAAAGGGUAGCGUGUGGGUUUGAGCAGCCUAAAAAAAGAGCAUGGUGAACUUUAUGUGAAUAGCCAUAGCAAUAGGUCACAUACAAAAGAACCAAAUAGUGCCGAUAUGUCAAUACAAGCAGUGCCAUGUUCUCAGCAGUUUUAUAAAUUGUGCAUUUAUUCAACAUCAGAUUUUUUUUUUUAUCCAUGCUUUUGCAGUGAUGUUUUUUCAGUCCUUUUUAACUGGAUCAACCUAUAGACCUUAGUCGGGGUAGCACCAUAUUUCAUUUUUGUCUGGAAUGAAAACAAGGCUACGAGGGAUAGAAGUUCUUUGCCGUGGAACAGGGUUCUUUAGACUAUUAAAAUGUUCUUCACGCUAAGAGAAAAUGUUUUUUUUAAGAACUGUUCACUUAAAGGUUCUUUGGGCAACCAAAACUGGGCAUCACUGUGAAAACCCCCUUUUGGAACCUUUAUUAGCAUCUUUAUACAGUGCGUGCCAUUGUA